rnacentral:rRNA from 1 species
UGAGGAAUAUUGGACAAUGGGCGCAAGCCUGAUCCAGCCAUGCCGCGUGCAGGAUGACGGUCCUAUGGAUUGUAAACUGCUUUUAUACAGGAAGAAACACUACUUCGUGAAGUAGCUUGACGGUACUGUAAGAAUAAGGAUCGGCUAACUCCGUG